GGAUAACAACAGAUGAUGCCUAUCAACUGUUUAAAAGAUGGUUCUGCUAUCACUCUUGGGAUGGACCUGCGGUGCAUUAGCUAGUUGGUAGGGUAACGGCCUACCAAGGCGAUGAUGCAUAGCCGAGUUGAGAGACUGAUCGGCCACAUUGGGACUGAGACACGGCCCAAACUCCUACGGGAGGCAGCAGUAGGGAAAUCUUCCACAAUGGACGCAAGUCUGACGGAGCAACGCCGCGUGAGUGAAGUAAGGGUUUCGGCUACGUAAAGCUCUGUUGUUGGUGAAGAAGGACGAGGGGUAGUAACUGACCUUUGUUUGACGGUAAUCAAUUAGAAAGUCACGGCUAACUACGUGCCAGCAGCCGCGGUAAU
rnacentral:rRNA from 1 species